GAGAUAGCUUUGGAUAUGAGUGCUUGGAGAUAGCUAUCAAUGUGCCUGAACCUUGAACUUAUUUCUUUCGGGUUUCAUCUCUAGCCUACCCCAACUUGCUUGGGAAAAAAAAGUCUAUGUUGUUGUAAAUAUAUUCCCAAUCUAUUCAGUACAGGUCAAAUGUAUCUGUUAUUAUCUUGACAAGAGAGUGUUGAAAAAAGCCACCAUGUUUGUGGAGAGGGGUUAUAAAGUACCUCAUUAAGUGAGUGUUUUUGUGGCUUUUUCUUAGAUAAGAUUCACAUUGCCUCAAUUUAUACUAGUUUAGGCUAAGAAUUUCUAUCUUUUGAAGGACUAGAUUUGAGUUAAAUUUGAUAAGAAAAUAUAAUCUCUCGUUCCAUUUUUUUUUUAAAAAAACUAUCUUUAAGCUCUAAGACUUCAUUCUUGUCGAAGGGGUUCCGACGCCCUUGAAAUCUGUCUACAUGGGAAGAUGCAUGUUUUUCAUGUGCUUGUUUUGGGUUAUGAUGAUCUUGUGAACGUGGCCAAAUUUUGGCCGUGCUUAGAUGUUUAAGCUUCCAUUUGUUUCGAAGCCACAAUUUGGUAUUGGCAUGGAAAAUUGUUCUAUAGCAAACAUGAGAUUAACUCGAGAAGCUCUAAUUUGGCCUUCCAAUAUUUUGCGUAGAUACAAUACAAACCAUACAAUCCCGUUCUAAGAUAAGAUAAAUCAUUUGGAAACAUAUGCAAACUCUUACCCAAACGCCAAGAUAAAUCAAUUUUUUUAACAAUGGAAAAGAUUAUCCAGCUUCACCCUCAUUGAGGGGAUCAGACCAACAUUAUUACAUGCAUGUAGUAUCAAUCACACCAUGUUCGCGCAAACAUUUAAAGUAUGAAAUAUGAAAGACAAUUCGUAAAAGUAUGAAAUAUGAAAGACAAUUCGCAAACUAAAAGACUAUCCCUGCGAUACGAAGAAAUAAAGAGCUGAUAUCUCCAGCAAAUGACAUGCAUGAAUCAUCUUUUCCUUUUGAUGUAGCAAAUACGUUUCUCUAAAAAAACCUGCAAAAAAAAGUUUUUGGUUGAUAUUUGUUAAAGACGACAACAUUCAUAGAGAACUAAAUCACCUAGUACAUAGCCCAUAUGCCUGUUAAUAAAUGUAUUUUUGGUUUAUGACCCCAUUGUUUUAACCAAUGAUUAAAUAAAUCAUCAACAAGGUGCUGUAUACUUUCUUAACCGUUAUAGAAGCUCCAAAUUUUGCUUCCAAUCUAAUUGUGCCUAGCUGAAUUAUGCUUUGCAAGUAAUACAUCACUUUUCGAGUACCACAUAAAAAGUUUACUCUUUAAACGUAUCUUCCAUGCCAAAUCUCUUGUAUAACCUUUACUAUUAACAAGAUUUAUAUAUAUAGAGUGUACAAUGAAGAAGCCAUUAGCUUGUAGGGAACAUGAGAAGGUAUACCUCCCCUCUUGUAAAUUAACAUUUAACAACUUAUCCACUAUAUAGAGUCAGUCAUGUAGUUUAUUCCCAACUAAAGCUCUCCUAGAGGAGAUAUUUAGUGGUGGGGUGCUAAACACUUCUGCUACUGUAGCAUGUUGUCAACGAAACAUGCUAAACAGAUAUGUGAAUUGGGACUUCAAUGUUUGGUCGUGCAGGCAAAUGUCUUCUCAAAAUCUUAUUUGUGAACCAUCUUUAAGCGAAAAAUAUCCCAAGCUAAGAAACUUAUCUUUCACCCCAUUAGGCUGGUCCAAAAAUACGAAUCUCCUAGCUUUUUAUUGACUUGCCCUAGAAUUUUAUUCUUUAGAUAAUUAUCCCUCAGCAACUCUUGCCAAAUGCCUUCUUCAUUGCAUAGUUUAAAUAACCAUUUACUAAGCAGAUAUUUAUUUUGAAUAUCCAGAUUUGUGUCCCAAACCACCUUGCUCUAACACAUUCAACUGAAACAUGAAUUUCCCUAGUAAUCUAACACACAGUGAUGAUAAUUUGUUUCAAAUUUUGGCUACACCCCCAUUUAAUUAUGAUCCAAACAUUCGAGAUAUAAGAAAUAGAAGAACAAACUAAGGACGUGUACCACUAAUAAUAUUAAAACAUAAACAAAUCAGAGUUCUCGUAGUUUCAAUUGACAUGCACAUUUAUUAUAAAGAAAAUGAAUGAAAUUAUUAAACGACCGUACGACAAAAGACAUGGCAUAUUUCUAUAGAUGAAAGUUGGUUCCCACGGCGGACAGCUAAAAUAAAUUUACUAUGUUCGAUCUUGUUUCUACGGCGUGGAUUCCUCGUUCGUGCAUACGUGUUUGAUCUCUGGUCUCCUCUUUCACACGAUGCAACCUCCGCGAAACUUCUUGCCCGUCUGCCUUUCCUGCCGCCGCAUCCUUCUUGCCUGCUUACCUGCCUGGAGCUCGACGCAUGGUCUUCUUUUCACACCUUGUGUGGUGAAAUCAGCUUUUACUGUUUACCGCUGCUUCCACGAAACUUCCUACUGUCGAUGCCGAUGGGAAUCCUUUUCUCUGCGUACCUCCGCUUCCAACCACGCGUAGGUCCAUCAGUAGGCCGAUCUCCGCCGCUGCCUUCCCAGUCGAUCUCCGCUGCUGCUCUGGUGCUGUCCUCGCCGAUCCAUCGUCUAUCCUCGCGCCGUGGUGCCGCUGCCCCUCGCUAGCCGCUACUCCUCGCCCACAGUCGGUAUGUCUGGCGGAGCGCGAGGCCGCUCGACUUCAGCCGCUCCCCGCCCACGGCCGGACCAGCCGUGGCCGGCCUGUCCUCGCGCCACGAUGCCGCUGCCCUUGGUCGGCGCCGCUCCUCCUCCCCCACAGCCGGUAGGGCCGUCGGCGCGCGAGGCCGCCCAGCUUCGCCGCUCCCCGCCCGCGACGGGUCUGGCCAGGAGAGCGCGCGCGUCCGGCCCCGGCUUCGCUACUCCUCCCUUCGAAGCCCAUCUCCGCGGUUCGGCGCCACCGCCGCCCGCCCUGCGCCCCGACUCCUCCGCAGCAUCCCAGCCGCCGCUCUACUGCAAGCCGUCCUUCUCAGCCCGCAUCAAAUCCUUCGCACGCAACGACUUUGCCCCCAAGAUCUGGAUCUGCUCGCUUUGUUUCUUCUCGAACCACUUCCGAGUUCCAACAUCCCCGCCGAGCUCUUCCUCCAGCACUCCACCGUUGAUAGCAUCCUUGGUGGCGUCGCGGCUCCGACGCCCCCAAAGCCACUGUGGAAGGCCGUCGCGCUCCUCCCCCAACGAGCUGCGCAACUACAACUGGGUUCAAUUCAAGGUCCAAGUUCAGAUCUUUUGUGUUCCGUCCCCAACGCACAAAUGGACAGGUCAACAGGAACAACGACGUUGCCGGAAGGGGUCUGGAUUGAGCUCCCUUGAUGCAAUUACUCUCAUCCUUCAUGCAGUUUCACUUGAUGACGAUGGAGCCAAGGAAGCAACAUCCGAGCAUUAGUCAUUUGCCAAAUUCAUCGCAGUAAGGUGCUUCCACAAUUGAGAUGGAGUACAUGCCUGGAUGGAUUGUUUGAGCAAUGCAGCAAGCACAACAUUAUGAGGGCCAAGGUCUUGCUCAGGUUGUCAUCCGGAAGCAGGCCUCCGGCACUGACACUGUAACCAUCGAUGCACCCACCCCCGAAGAAAUAUGAGAUCAAUUUAUAUAAGCUCAUUUAUCUAGAGAAAAUGGAUCUGGGCAGCCAAAGAUUUUUUUCCAUCGAUUGUCAUAUAUCAAGUUAGACUUCCUAAUAUUUAUUUUUCCCCUGCAGUUUGUUCAGUGCAAACUCCAAGUAUUAAAAAAUGAAUAUGUGAAUUCUACCACAGAGGAAAGAGUUUGUGCAUCAAUUACUAGCUACAGCAAAAGGAGUGGUUCUAUUCUUUUAAGCCUCUAUAUUAUCCCAGAUAUGGAAGAUUCAUAUUAUCCAUGACCUUCUUUACUGAAAAUUUGACUGUGUCAAACUCCCACCUAUACCAGCCUGGAUAAAAGCUGUUAUUGCAUAUAUGGAUUCACUCCUGCCUCCCGCUUACACCCACUUGGAUAUGCAAAACCCUUACCAGAAACAUAAAACUCUGCAUCCAAUCAGGCACACUCACUUGGGCAGUCACAUUUAUCAUUUGCUUCCCAAAAACAGAGACAAAAAUAUGAAGCCAUGUUGGGAGUCAAAUAUGACAUCUAUUAUUGUCAAAGCCUAUAGAUAUAUGUAGCUUGAAUGGCCAGUUAUGCAGUUGUGGAGCACUUAUCAUUUUGCUAAGAAUCAAGUGCUCUUCAAAAGUCUAGCAGUGUGCUGUAUUGAACCCGCCUAGCCUUCAAUUAUGUGAAGGCUAUCGCCAAUGAACACCUCCCUUAUGCUGUAACCACUAAUAUGCUUACUUCUCCGCUAAUUAGGGGCUGCUUUAAGAUGUCUACGGCAAUGACAUGUUUACUGUAUAAACCAUUUAUUGUUACCAUGAGCCCGUUAAAGUCUUUAUUUGUCUCUGAUAUUUGUAAAGCGUUCUCCACUUUUCUUACUGAAAAUGCUAAGAACUUUUGCUUGA